GACGAACGCUGGCGGCGUGCUUAACACAUGCAAGUCGAACGAUGAAGCCGGAGCUUGCUCUGGUGAAUUAGUGGCGAACGGGUGAGUAACACGUGAGUAACCUGCCCUUGACUCUGGGAUAACUGCGGGAAACUGUAGCUAAUACCGGAUACGACCCUCGGAGGCAUCUCCUGGGGGUGGAAAGAAUUUCGGUCAAGGAUGGACUCGCGGCCUAUCAGCUAGUUGGUGAGGUAAAGGCUCACCAAGGCGACGACGGGUAGCCGGCCUGAGAGGGUGACCGGCCACACUGGGACUGAGACACGGCCCAGAGUCCUACGGGAGGCAGCAGUGGGGAAUAUUGCACAAUGGGCGCAAGCCUGAUGCAGCAACGCCGCGUGAGGGAUAACGGCCUUCGGGUUGUAAACCUCUUUUAGCAGGGAAGAAGCGAAAGUGACGGUACCUGCAGAAAAAGCACCGGCUAACUGCGUGCCAGCCGCCGCCGUAA
rnacentral:rRNA from 1 species